AUUGAACGCUGGCGGCAUGCUUUACACAUGCAAGUCGAACGGCAGCGCGGGCUUCGGCCUGGCGGCGAGUGGCGAACGGGUGAGUAAUGCAUCGGAACGUGCCCAGUAGUGGGGGAUAGCCCGGCGAAAGCCGGAUUAAUACCGCAUACGACCUGAGGGUGAAAGCGGGGGACCGAAAGGCCUCGCGCUAUUGGAGCCGCCGAUGUCGGAUUAGCUAGUUGGUGGGGUAAAGGCUUACCAAGGCGACGAUCCGUAGCUGGUCUGAGAGGACGACCAGCCACACUGGGACUGAGACACGGCCCAGACUCCUACGGGAGGCAGCAGUGGGGAAUUUUGGACAAUGGGGGCAAGCCUGAUCCAGCCAUGCCGCGUGCGGGAAGAAGGCCUUCGGGUUGUAAACCGCUUUUGUUCGGGAAGAAAUCCUCUGGGCUAAUACCCCGGGGGGAUGACGGUACCGGAAGAAUAAGCACCGGCUAACUACGUG
rnacentral:rRNA from 1 species